UAGGGGCAGGAAACCCCCGUGAAACCACAGCUGCUCAUAUCUGUUGCAGAUUAUGAAGAACCUCAGACAACCAUACCACCAGAUUCACCUCUUUUUCUGAGACACAAGAUCCAGGCCCACUCCCCUGCCACUGGCCUGAGACUUCCUGCCAACAGACCUUGCCUUUUUUACCUCUUCCCUGGGAGUCAGUCUGGUGAUCAGAUGGCGCUGCUGGAAGCUGUCCUCUUCUCCUCCCUCUGGUCUUUUGGCCUUGGGCAAUUAACAUUGGAGCAACCUGAAGUAUCAGUUACUGGAACAAGAGAAAAGAGUGCAGUUAUGUCUUGCAAGGUGUCCUCUAAGGACUUCAGCAAAGAUUACAUCCACUGGUACCGGCAAAAACCAGAUCAGGGUUUAGAACAGCUACUAUACGUCUUAGCAGCCUCUGCGCAAAGUCACUUAGGAGGGACGAAAAACAAGUUUGAGGCCAAAAAAGAUGUUGCCUCUUCCACUUCUACCUUGAAAAUAAGUUUCUUAGAGAAAGAAGAUGAGGCCAUGUACUACUGUGCCGGCUGGGUCUUCAAUCAUUGUGACAGUUCAAUCUGGAUCAAGGUAUUUGGUGAAGGAACUAAGCUCGUAGUAAUACCUCCUGAUAGAAGGCUUGAUGGAGACUUGUUUCCCAAGCCCACUAUAUUUUUCCCUUCAGUUGAGGAAGUAAAACUCCAUAUGGCUGGAACACAUCUUUGCCUUCUUCAGAAAUUUUUCCCUGAUGCUAUUAAGGUACAAUGGAAAGAAAAGAAUGGCAAUACAAUUCUGGAAUCCCAACAGGGAGAUAUCAUCAAGACCAAUGACACAUACAUGAAAUUCAGCUGGCUGACCUUGACUAAAAAGGCAAUGGAUAAAGAACAUGUAUGUAUUGUCAAACAUGAGAAUAACAAAGGUGGACGUGAUCAAGAGAUUCUUUUUUCUUCAGUUAACAAAGAGGUCGCUAAGCAUGCCUGCAUGAAAAAAGAAAGUGAUACCCUGCAGCUGCAGUUUGCGAACACCUCUGCCUAUUAUACCUACCUCCUCCUCCUCCUCAAGAGCGUGAUCUACUUCUCCAUCAUCGCCUUCUGUGUGUUUAGGAGAACAGACAUCUUCAGCGAUUGGAAGAUUUUCUGAUAGAUGGUGCCCUAAAACGGUCAACUCUCCUUCAUCAUCUACAUAAUGGGUACCUUUUUCUAUUAUUGUACACUGGUUUUUCAAGCCACUGGGCAAACAGUUUUCCUCUUUAACAAGGAAUUCUGCCAUUAUUCAGGGAAAGUGCCCAGGACUGGUCCAGGGGAUCCUCUCCCCACCCUGUCCCUACAACCUCCUCAGCUCCUCCAGCCUCCAAGUCCUUGUACCUGCACACAGUGGGCAGCUCCCCAUCUCUUCCCUCAGCACCACCCCGCAGACCAUCACCCCGACCCUCCCUGCCACACAUUCUGGGACUGCCAGCUUAGCUACUUGAAUUCUGUACUUUCUUUUUCAUAAUAGGCAUAAUAAUUAAAAAGAGAAAUCAAUA